rnacentral:rRNA from 1 species
AUUGAACGCUGGCGGCAGGCCUAACACAUGCAAGUCGAGCGAGCGGCGGACGGGUGAGUAAUGUAUGGGGACUGCCCGAUAGAGGGGGAUAACUACUGGAAAAGGGGGCGAAUACCGCAUACUGCAGGAUAACCCAUAUGGGAUUAGCUAGUAGGUAAGGUAAUGGCGUACCUAGGCGACGAGCCCUAGCUGGUCUGAGAGGAUGAUCAGCCACACUGGGACUGUGACACGGCCCAGACUCCUACGGAGGCAGCAGUGGGGAAUAUUGCACAAUGGGCGCAAGCCUGAUGCAGCCAUGCCGCGUGUAUGAAGAAGGCCCUAGGGUUGUAAAGUACUUUCAGUCGGGAGGCGUUACCGACAGAAGAAGCACCGGCUAACUCCGUGCCAGCAGCCGCGGUAAUAC